CCAUCGGCCAGCAAGAAGCUGAGUCUCUCAUUCUGACGGCCUCGGGGAUCUGAAAUCUAUCAACAACCAUUCAAGGUGUUCCACAAUCUAAUCCAAACUGGCCUGGCCACUCCAACCUGGAGAGAAGGGGAGGGAACCAUGAUGAAUGUGGACACCAGUUGAGACACUUGUGAAAACACCCAGGAGGUCAUGUGGGCGAGCUCUAAUCCCAUAUGACCGUGUCCUCAGAGGAGGAGCUUAGGACACAGACACGGAGGGAAGGCCGUGUGAGGACACAGGGAGAAGAUGGCAUCUGCAGGCCAAGGAGAGAGCCCUUGGAUCAAAGCAAGCCUACUGAUGCCUCGAUCUCAGACUUCCCGCUUCCAAAGUUGUGAUGAAAUAAACGUCUGGGACAUAA